GUAAUACUCCCUCCGUCCCAUAUUAAGUGUCACGACUUUGUCUAGAUACGCAUGUAUCUAGAUGCGUUUUAGUGUGUAGGUAUAUGCGUAUGUAGACAAAGUUGCGACACUUGAUAUGGGACGGAGGGAGUACUUA
rfam:Brachypodium distachyon strain Bd21 chromosome 1, whole genome shotgun sequence.